rnacentral:rRNA from 1 species
UUAGCUGGAUCAGUAACGAAGCUAACGCGUGAGGUUGACCGCCUGGGGAGUACGGCCGCAAGGUUGGAACUCAAAGGAAUUGACGGGGACCCGCACAAGCGGUGGAUGAUGUGGUUUAAUUCGAUGCAACGCGAAAAACCUUACCCACCUUUGACAUGGCAGGAAGGCUUCAGAGAUGAGGCUGUGCUCGAAAGAGAACCUGCACACAGGUGCUGCAUGGCUGUCGUCAGCUCGUGUCGUGAGAUGUUGGGUUAAGUCCCGCAACGAGCGCAACCCUUGCCAUUAGUUGCUACGAAAGGGCACUCUAAUGGGACUGCCGGUGACAAGCCGGAGGAAGGUGGGGAUGACGUCAAGUCCUCAUGGCCCUUACAGGUGGGGCUACACACGUCAUACAAUGGCCGGUACAAUGGGCAGCCAACCCGCGAGGGGGAGCCAAUCCCAUAAAGCCGGUCGUAGUCCGGAUCGCAGUCUGCAACUCGACUGCGUGAAGUCGGAAUCGCUAGUAAUCGUGGAUCAGCAUGUCACGGUGAAUACGUUCCCGGGUCUUGUACACACCGCCCGUCACACCAUGGGAGCGGGUCUCGCCAGAAGUAGUUAGCCUAACCGCAAGGAGGGCGAUUACCACGGCGGGGUUCGUGACU